rnacentral:lncRNA from 1 species
UUAUAUGCUAUAACACUACUACUCACCGAUUCCUUCUCUCUAGGCAUGUGAUUCAUGAUGAGAGUGUCUUUCCUUUUGGGCACUCCAAGCCUUCAAUUCCAUCUAGCAAUAUUUCUUUUUGUCCUUCAUCUUCUUUCAAGGCUCCACCUAUUGUAGUUUCUAUUUCGCAUAAUGUGCCUUCCUUGGCUUCUAGUCCAGUUCCUAAUCUUGCUUCCUCAC